UACGUAGGGGGCUAGCGUUGUCCGGAAUCAUUGGGCGUAAAGCGCGCGUAGGCGGCCCGGUAAGUCCGCUGUGAAAGUCGGGGGCUCAACCCUCGAAAGCCGGUGGAUACUGUCGGGCUAGAGUACGGAAGAGGCGAGUGGAAUUCCUGGUGUAGCGGUGAAAUGCGCAGAUAUCAGGAGGAACACCCAUUGCGAAGGCAGCUCGCUGGGACGUUACUGACGCUGAGACGCGAAAGCGUGGGGAGCAAACAGG
rnacentral:rRNA from 1 species